UACGGAGGGUGCAAGCGUUAUCCGGAUUCACUGGGUUUAAAGGGUGCGUAGGUGGGCAGGUAAGUCAGUGGUGAAAUCUCCGGGCUUAACCCGGAAACUGCCGUUGAUACUAUCUGUCUUGAAUAUCCUGGAGGUGAACGGAAUAUGCCAUGUAGCGGUGAAAUGCUUAGAUAUGACAUAGAACACCAAUUGCGAAGGCAGUUCACUACGGGAUCAUUGACACUGAGGCACGAAAGCGUGGGGAUCAAACAGG
rnacentral:rRNA from 1 species